rnacentral:sRNA from 1 species
AGUAUCCUGAUCUUGAAAAAGCCUCUUAAUUAUGUUUCAUUCAAUCGCCAAAAAGUAAGGUCGGUUUGGUUUUACAGAGUUUGUCUUUUUCCUGCAAGGUUCAUCUUUCCGGGAAAAAAAAAGUAAGUUUUAUAUUUUUCUUAACUUCUUGUUAGACUAAGAAAACCAAAUUUUAAACUAACGAGUUAAUUUACAUAUACAUUUUUUGAGCCAUUUUAGCUAAUAAAUCCUAAACUUGAACUUAUUUACAAUAAUGCCAUUAGCAUUAAAUCUUUUUUCCAAACUAAUUAAUUUUACU